AUUAAAUAACGCGAAGGGUUGUGCUGCUUUCAUUACGCGUCGUGGGCGAGCGAGCUGCCUGCAGCCUCUGCCUCCUCCUCGCCUCCCGCCAGCAGAGCACUAAUUAGCAACAGGCAGGAGAGAUGCUCGUCUGCCUCCCGCCCUUUAUUAAUUGCUGGUUCGCUUUCGGCGCCGUGCAGCUUUGCUUCACCUCUGCUCGCUUUUUGGCCGCUCCCUCACAGCAGGGAUUUGCUGCUGCUGCUCACACCCAUUGGCUUUCAUCACCAAAAAGGCCCAAAUACCCCCCUGGGCAUUUCCCUCGUGGCGGAGAACAGCGGUGCCACCCGACGCGACGCAGCCCCAAACCAGGGGGCUUUUGACGGCCUUUUGGCACUCUCCAACCCACCUAUUUCAGGAGGGCACCCACUGCAAGCUCAGCUCUUCGGGCUUUAAGCCCAACUGGCGGCACUCAGCUCCUUUCAACACCGCACCUCUACUUUGCAGCGCCGCCGGAGCUCUGCAGCGCCCGCACGGCCGUCGGCCCUCUCUGCAAACGAAGGCUGCGCCGGGCCGCGGGACGCCGUGCGUUUAAAUCCGAGCGCACCUUUCCCUUCUCCUCCCAUCCCUGCCGUCUCUCAGCACCUCUCCCUGCCCGUCCUCCCCCCGCAGCCGGGAAGCGCGGCGCUGCGUCCCGUAAGCCGGGGAUGUGCGGGGAGUCGCUCCCUCGGAGGGCGAUGCUCUUCCCGACCCGGUUCGGCUCAGCAACCUGCGGGAAGGAGAGAUGGAUUCUGCCCCGACCGCCGAGGGAGAGGCAGUAAAUCACCUCCCAUUGACCGAGGAGUGCUUUCGUUCCGAGCAGAGUGCACUUUGCAUGCAUUUUGCAUGCGCUUCCAGCGCACUUUAAAUUAAUGCACUCUCGACUCAAAGCCUCUGCUAAUUCACAUUUCCCUGCACGAGCGUUCCCCUGUAGAUGUGUUCCCGACCCAAAGCCCUUUGCAGAUGGGCGGGGAGCCUCCACGUUGUCUUCCACCCUCAACCCGGGGCUAAAUUAACUGAGCUAAUCGCCCUUACGGCCACGCGUGGGGUGCGGGGGACGCAGCGAACACAUCCUGCCACGCUGCUCCAUCCCGAUGCUCGCCCUAUAGCGCCCUGCCUGCGGGCUGUGGGGCAGCUCUGGGCUCUGCCCUCCGCCUCCCAGAGGGAAAUAAUUCAUCUCGCUGCCCUCCUGCUGACUCUCUCCUGCAUUGAUCCGCUGCCAAUUGGCUGCUCUGCGAGAGGAGCGAGGGUGGAGGCUGCAGGAUUCACUGCCGAUGUUGUAAGGACAAAGUCAAGGGGACGCGCUCUUCUCAGAAACGCAUCCAGGCUGAUUUUGGGAAGAGGGGACGUUUGGGGUCCGGCUGCUGCGUGAUCCCACGUGGGCGAUGCUCUUGGUGUGGGAUGCAUUGGGCCCUCCUCUCGACCCCCCUUUACACGAGCAGCGUUGCGAAGGCUGGGAGGUGAUGAUGGUCCUGUCCUCAUUUUGAACCAAAGGGGUGAGACGUAAUGGCACUCAUUAGCUGUGUGCACUUUCCAUCUGCACAGCGUUGGUCAUUCAGGAGACGUGCCUAAAUAAGGAGCUCUGUGCCCCAAAUUCUCUGCACUCAAUGAAGAGAAAUCAGCACCUUCGGGUCUACGCUGCGGUACUAAUUGCGAACCCCCCAUGAAUCCCCCACUGAGGAGAGAGGAACCUUCAGAGCAGUGCCCCAAAUGUGUCUCCUCUCUUGGAAUGGAUCAUUGGACUCAACCCAAGGGUGGUUUGUUGGCAGAGCUGGAGGGCUGCUGCCCUGUGACGGUGGAAUGGAGCAGUUUGACUCAACCCAAUUGGUUGGCAAAGCCAGAAGGACGUCGUCCUUCUAUACUGGAAUGGAAAGUGGGACUCAACCCAAUGCUGAUUGGCUGGCAAGACCAGAUGGGUUCUGCCCUUUGAUACUGGAGUGGAAAGUGGGACUCAACCCAAUGCCAGCUGGUUGGCAAGGUCAGAUGGAUGCUGCCCUUCGACAACGCAAUGGAACAGUUUGACUCAACCCGAUGCGUAUUGGUUGGCAAGAUCGGAUGGAUGCUGCCUUCAAUACUGGAAUGGAACAUGGGACUCAACCCAACACUGGUUUGCUAGAAAAAUGAACAGACGCUGCCCUUUGGGAAAGCAGUUGAAGCUCAUCUGUAGCAUUCCCUGGGAAAUGAGGGAGCUCGUGGUGCUGGCGCAGGUCAUGGGGUGGAUGGCUCUGGUUGCUGCCGUGCCAUAAAUCCUGGCCAGGCGAGCCUGGCGGCACCGAGAGGUACCCACAAAGGGACAUCCAUCAACGUUAACCCAAAUCAACCUUUAAAAUGGAUUAGCCAGAGCACAUAAAACCCCAUUCUGGACACUUAGCCAGAAUUAGAGUUGGUUUAAUUCACUUGAGCUUAAUUCGCAAAGCUAAACCGAAUUAAGGCUGGCUGCGUUCGGAACGAGCAGCUCCACGCGUGGAGUUUAAUGUGAUUUACAUCGCCUGCUCUCCAUCCACACCUCUGGGUGAUCUAUGUGCCACCGGGGAGCAGAGCUGGCAGGGAAUGCAGGGAACGUCGCCACGCCGCUGCCAGGACCGAACAUCGCUGCAGGGUCACCGAGCCCUGGAGCAGCACGGAGGGAGGAGACGCUUCCAGUUCUCUUCUUGCAGCAGUGGGAGGGAUGGAAGGGACCCUCCAACCCCCCGAUGAAAUUAUAUCUACAUCGGCUGGAAUUCGGCUCUCGUUGACCCCAUCAAACCAGGGAAAUGCCUCCAUUGGGGCUCUGAGGAGAGCAUCCGUAACCCUGAUGGACCACUGCGAGUGGAAAACCAGCGACCACCAACCCCACCUCUCCCUGUUUGUCAGUGAUGGAGGCGAUGGGCUCCGCUUCCCAUCAGCACACUUCGUCUUAUGGCACGUUUGGCUUCCAUCCAUUUCCACCUGGGACGAAAGGAGGGGAAAAUGUGGGGGUGUGGAGAUGGGGAAGGGGCUGGCACCGCUCCCUGUGCCCCCACCUCUUCCAAAUAGGGCCGAAAUGUCUCCAACUCCUUCACGUCUCCGAAAUGUCUCCUUUCCAUUAGUGGAUGGGCACCUAUUGAAGGAUCUCAGCUGAGGGAAUUCAAAUGGUUCUAACGCAAACCGCCCUCACGGUAACCAUUAUGGUCCCUUAAAAACAUUUCAUUACGAAGGCAAGCGUAUGUUUUAGCAAUGCUCUGAUGACUCCUCAGUGUCAGGUUUAUCCCAGGCCGGGCGCUUCUCAGAAUGAAUGAGUUGAUGAGAUCCAAGUUCUCCCUUUGUUUAAUGGACUUUAAGUUGUUUAAAUCAUUGGCUUCACUUAAACCCCGCACUUAAAGAAGGGCUGUCUAUUUCUCUCCAUUAAAAGUUCAUCCAUCAUGGAAUGAGUCUUUCCGGAAAGCCCCAAUGGUGAACCAAAAGGUCCACACCAUGUCACAGCUCUGGGUUGGGUGUUUUCACACGGCGUGAGCCAUUUCCUGGCAGAAGGGGCCCAAAAUCACCACCCCAGGUAGUGGGGUUGGUGCUGCACCACGUGGUGACACCACUGGGCUUUGUAUGGGUUGAAAUGUUGGAUAACAGAGUUGGACCGGAGUGCCCACGCAACCCAACCGAUGUGAGGACGCAUGGAGGCUUCACCAUCCACAGCCACUGCUAAACCCAAGGGCUUUCUUCUAAAACAUGCCUCCAGCCAUGAAACCCAAGGGCUUUCCUCUCAAAUACAUCCCCAGCCAUGAAACCCAAGGGCUUUCCUCUCAGAUAUACCCCCCAGCCAUGAAACCCCCGCCAUUUCCUCACACAUACAUCCCUUGGCUCGGCCUUGAGAAGCCAUGCAGCGCAACCCCAUCGAUUACCAUCAUCCUUCCCAUUCCCUUUUACACCCACGAAGCUCAGAGGUGCCCCCCACCACCCCCAGAGCCCGCAGCAGUCAUCCAUUGCCAACUGACUUUGUGUUCUCCUUGCGACGUCGGCGCGCGCGCGCGGCGCAGAUGUAAAUACAUCCCGGCUGUCCUGCUUUGAUUCAUGCUUUGGUAUCGGAUCGCGUGCGCCUCCCUGGACGCCAUAAAUCUCCUCGGGGUAACUCCACCUGAAUUGCUCUUUGUGUGCGUUGCAGGUCGGGAUGAGGAACUGCUCUGCAGGGGAGCCUCUCGCCAGCGCCGUGUUUCCAUUCGCCUGCGCGGAUCGACGUCUGCGGUGGGAGGGAAUUGGGGUAGGGGCAGCCCGGCGUCUCCGGUGUGGAGCUCGGAGGGAGACAGAAAAGUGCUUUUUGGGGACCUGAUGGGUUACAAAUCACACAUCUUUUGUCCCACCCCCGUGGGGAGCAGGAAUGGGGUCAGGGCAGCCCGUGGUUGAAUGUCUCCUUGCGUUUGCCAUCGCCCUGCAGCACCCGGAGUCAUUUGGCUGAGUAGAAGAUGAGGUCCCCCUGAAGUGGAUGCUUGGGGUUCCACAAAGCCAACAAAACCCAACCAGCCCAGAGCCAUCUCACCACGCUGCGACCAUCUCAGAGCCAAAAGUGGCCCUCAGGGCUCACACGAUGCCAUGGGAGCACCUCAAGGGUGUGCUGGGACAUCCUCAUGUGGACGUGGAACCUGGCCUUGGCCAACAGGGGUUCUCGAGGCUCACAUGGCCCAAUGGGAAUGCCUCUAAGAUGUUUUGGGACAUCCUCAUGUGGACGUGGAACCUGGCUUUGGCCCACAGUGGUCCUCCAGGCUCUCCCAGUGCCAUAAGAACAUCUGUAGGGUGCAGUGGGAGAUCCUCCUACGGACAUGGAAGCCGGGCUUGGCCAACAGUGGUCCUCCAGGCUCACGUGAUGCCAUGGGAACACCUCUGGGGUGUAAUGGGGCAUCUUCAUGUGGACAUGGAACCCGGUCUUGGCCAACAGAGGUCCUCCAGGCUUGCACCACAGGAGCACCUCUGGGAUAUACUGGGACAUCCUCGUGUGGGGAUGGGGACACUCAGUCACAGCAACCGGUGCCGACGUCCCCAACCUGGAACACAGAGAGAAGAGGCCACAUCCUGCCCGAGGCCACCACCUUCCCCAUCCAUUCACUCCUUCAGCUCCAGAAAUACCCUGACAUGGGACACUCUGCAUCUCAGAGCUCUCCCCCCAACCAUCCACAGCGCCACGGAGCAAAGCCUGGGUGAGAAACACGUCCGGAUGGGGCUGAGCUCACAGUUCAGGGCGCCUUCCAGCCAAAGGAAGGGAUUCUUUUAUGGAAUCCUGGAGGAAAAAAGGGACUGCAGCACCCAUGGGCUGCCAGGAAGAGUGAGAUUCGUACUGCACAAAAGAUAGGAGAGGAUCACAGAGCACAAAGCCCUCAACGUCUUCCAUUAUAUCCAC
ensembl:lncRNA